rnacentral:rRNA from 1 species
AUACGGAGGAUGCGAGCGUUAUCCGGAUUUAUUGGGUUUAAAGGGUGCGCAGGCGGGCGAUUAAGUCAGCGGUGAAAGGCUCGGGCUCAACCGGAGCAGUGCCGUUGAUACUGGUUGUCUUGAAUGCGGUCAAGGCCGGCGGAAUGUGGCGUGUAGCGGUGAAAUGCAUAGAUAUGCCACAGAACACCGAUAGCGAAGGCAGCUGGCCGGGCCUGCAUUGACGCUCAGGCACGAAAGCGUGGGGAUCGAACAGGAUUAGAUACCCUGGUAGUCCACGCUGUAAACGAUGGACACUCGUUGUCGGCGACAGACAGUCGGCGGCCAAGCGAAAGUGAUAAGUGUCCCACCUGGGGAGUACGGUCGCAAGACUGAAACUCAAAUGAAUUGGCGGGG